AUUAAGUUUCGCCAUCCACACGAAUCCUGCAGCGAUCUGGCCAACAUGGGAGUAAACGAUGACGUCUCCGGAAAACGUCAAAACAUAACGGCCAGGAACAUCUCUAAAAUAUAAUAUCGCUCGUUUCCUCUAAUUGUAAGAUUUACGUCAUCAAGAUACACAUCUCGACAUACACCCCGAUCAACAGGAAAUUGGCUAUCCCAUCCCUGCACGGCCACUUCUUCCCAGUCAGGUCUCGCGCAGAGGUGGAAUCAACUUUUAAAAGCGGUGCAGUCAACAGAAUCUUCGACUAUCUUCCGACGCAGACUGAAGAUCCACCUCUUCAGACUGCAUCUCUGUUCCCCUCCCAUCCCCACACGCUUGGGCUCUCAACUUUAGUAAAAAUCGAGGCUAUUGUGUUUUUAUGUUUUAGGCUACAUCUACGUUUUUAUGUUUCUCUUAUUUGGACUUGUCAUGACUGCAGUUCUUGAGUAUUUCAA